rnacentral:lncRNA from 1 species
GUGAUCGCUGGUAUUUCGGCCUCAUGUCCUUCUCCCGGCUCUUUCUCCUCGCUGUCACUGUCGCUCUCCAAGGGGCAGUAGCUGCCACCCUGGAGCGCUUGGAAACGCAUCCGCAAAGAGAGCCUGGAACGCGGUCCUCGCCCCCUCAUCACAAGCCCACCCCCACCCCCACCCCCACCCCCGACGCGCUGGGCGACUCGAUGGGCACAUUGUUUUAUGGGCGGGGUUUCCUGCCUUCCAGCACAUUCUACAGCAGACAGGAACGCUGUCAAAACAGGUCCACCUUGUUCCCUAACUGGACUGAAAUUAUGCAUUAGUAGUGACAGUUCCCAUUAGACGCCUGUGGAUUUCCGUCUCCCCUUCCUAUCAAUCAGUCUCCCUCAUUAGCCGCAGAGUUUCCCAGCCCCAGCCCCGCGCGCUGCCCGGGGCCGAUGCAGGGGCCCUGCUCCGCCGCUGUCCCAAAGGGCGCAAGCUCGGCUCCUUGCGUCUAGCAGCCCUGAUGCGGCAGCAGGUGCCAGCCAUCCGCCCGCCUCCGGGCCACACGCGUGGUGCCCCAAACGACAGGCAUUUCCUAGAGAAUGGCCCUCUUUGCGGGAACCCUGGAGCUGAGGAGGGCCCCUGGGCCCCCACCCCCUUCCCAGGUCUUCCGAAGGGCUUCGCUCCCGCCCUUAAUGGUCCCAGCUUACUGGGAGGCUGCUUUGUCCAAGGCUGCCACCAUUCUUCUCCCUCUUCCUUUUCUGUCCUACCCAGAUCACCUAAACACAGAGGACAUGCGCAUCGGCACUCCCCCCGGGACCCCCUUGUGGUCACUCCCGAAAGGGACCGGGCUGAGAUGUCUAGAGGAAAUUGGAGUCAGCUCACUGAAUAUUUACUCACCCCCCACCAGCACCGCCGCCUUACAAAAUUAUUCAUUUGCACAAGUCAUUUAGUGCAAAUAACAUACGAAAAGGAACUAUAUGAACACCUGAAGAUGAUACGUGUUUUCAAGCCUGCCCGGCAUGUAAGCUGACAGGCCCCCACCCUUCUCUCUGCCUCCAUGAGCUUCCCAGGGCAAGACGGGGGGAGACCAGUGCUAACAGUUUCAGGAGCUUGAAGGUUGGAAAAUGGAACAUCUUUCCUUCCAAGCCCCGAGCUUCGGUCUUGUCUAAUUCAGACAGCGAGUCCCCCAAUUAGGAGGUUAAACCGGAGAUCGGACUCUGCCUAUAAAUUGCCAGAUGAAACCGCAUCAGUCUAGUGGCGGGUACCUGAGGGAUGACAUUAUUUUCUUCCACUUGUUCAGCCGAAAGAAAGAGGAAAUCCAGGCCAAUUUAAAAGUAACAACUUUCUGAAAGACAUUUUAUUUAUUUCGUGACCAGUCAAAAAUGAAAUGCGUUUUGUUUUUAGCCACCUGGCCCUUUGGGGGAAGUCGUGUUUUCUGAACAAAAUCUCAAAUCUGAAAGGAGGAAAAUGCUGUUUGAGGAGCCCACAUGUUUCCAGAGAGCCGGGGCCCUGCCGGAAAUUUCCGUGCCAGGUGUGUUUUGAUUUUGCAGAUGGGAAGGGGUCCUGGCUGGGACCUGAGCCGGGGUUCAGAAUUUCACCUCAAAGCGCAAUUCCAAAGCUGAAUUUGUCGGAUACCCAUUUUCUCGUUGGCUGCUGGGGGAGGGGGAGGGUGCUGGUGGCAGAGGGAUCCGUUCAAUGCCCCCGUCCCAAGGCCCAAGGCUCACCUGGAGCACAGGGCUGGGUGGCCGCUUCUGCUCCAGGCAGGGGGCUGGCACCAACUGCCGGGCGGGUGGGACUCCCGCGGGCUCCUCGCUGCGUGGCAGCGAUUUUCUUCUGCUUCACUUGGGUUGUCUCCCUCCUGGCGAUGGAGACGGAGAAGGCCAUUCCUCCCCCACCCAUCAAAACGCCCCCUUCGCCACUUUGUGCGUUUCCGGGCCUGCCUCCCCCCGCCCCCCGGACCUGAGGCAGAAGAGCUGCCUGGGUGCCCCCCACCACAUUCCCCUUAGUUAAGAGGGCCACACCCACCUUCAGCCCCACCCGGCGGCGUCUGGGGCACCCGUGUAGGUAGGGUCAAGUUCUAGAGGCCACACGGGGUCCGUGGGGGAGGAGAAGCAGGGCUGGCGCGCUCUCCUCCAGAAGGCAGGGCAGCACCACAGUGGGCUUUGCUGAACUCUGGUGACAGUCGGGCAGCUGAGGGUCUGGGGUUGGGGGUCUGGGGGGCCUCAGAGUGUUUGGGAGUUUGGACUUGCGCAAACGCAGCAAGACGGAGCGCAUGCACCCGUUGUGAUCCCCCCAGUGUUAUUUCAUUUUCAAAGUCGAUCAAAGUGAGUUCCCUCUUAGAACUUGGCCUCAUUCUAGGGAUGAUAUCCUUGAAGUUAUCCACUCGGUGGUCCACCUACCCCCACAGUGAUAGCGUGGAGGCCGCCCACUCGACGGUCUAGCUGCCCCGCCCCAAGCAUGCAGAUAAAUAAAGUAACCUUUAAGUGGAAAAUACUUAACUUGAGACCACCUAGAACUGUCCUGGGUACCAUUCAGGAUGCCCACGUAGUGCACUGCCAGACGGAGCAUGGUCCUGGCGUGGCAAAGUGGUGGGCGGCCCCUCUUGGCGGGGGACAGCUUGCACCAAGGCCCAGACCAAAGAAAGCCAAUGGCCUUUUGGGGGAACAAUGAGUUUAGCCAAAGCAGGAAGUCUGAGCCAUCAAGAGCUCAACGCAUCCCUGCCUCGUCUGAGAAUCACAUGAGGUGACGGAUCAUUUCAGGGGAAAAUCAUGUUCCCAUCGCGUUCAAGAGCCCUGCCUUUGUCUUCCAAGUGCGGAGAAUCAGCCUGCAAUCUGCCACCUCCAUCCACUGACUGACCCACACUGAGGCUCAUUAGAGCACCAUACCCUGAACAAUGGCACAGAGCUAGUUGAAGGCUCUUAUUCUUGGUGAGAUUCAAAAAUAAGAGAAAGAAAGAAAAGGAGGAAGUCUUCAUCAAAGAGAGAAAUGAGCGGCACGAUGGCAGAUCCUUUGGAAGGGCCAUGCUUGCCAGUGAAGAAUAAAAGCCGACGUAACUGCUUUGUGACGACCCGUCGGGACUUUUUCUCUUCCUCCUCAUGGCACCAAGGCCUCCCUCGAGGACCGCGCCAACAGCUCAGCACCCCUAGGUGGUCAAAAAAACUGCGCUUAAGAAAUCCCCCCCGAAGAGAACACCUGGGGAGCGGAUGGAGGGGUCUGUGGGUAACACGUCGUGUAGAGUUUUGCACCAAGAUUCAAGAUGAAUUGUCCCAAUCGUAUGCAAUUCACAUAGCAAGACAGGCCAAACCAGUGGCUCCAAAGGAAUUCUUUUCUCUUUCUCCCCAAAGAGCCUAAGCCUCCGGAACAUGAAAACUGAGUUGAAGCUCAACAGCUCGAUGACAGAACACCCAACCAACCACGGAAACUUUGUAUGGGGCUGGAUACUUGCAACGUGCCUGGAGACUGGCCAUGCCCGGGUGGGUGGGGUCUUGGGUGAGAAGCUGUGAUGGUGGGGGGACACUGGGCUCCGUGGCGCAUCUGAAUUCUGGAAUGCCAGCUGGACUCUGAGCUGAAUUUGGUCCCUCACAGCCCUGGGGUAUUGCCACCGACGUGACGUCUGGCCAAGAGAAAAGCUGGUCCCUUGGGCCUGCCCUUCCUCUGUGUAUACAGGUCCCUACUUCUGAAGAUCUCACUGCCCGACACAGUCCGCGGCCCCAAGAAAAUGACCAGGACCGGAUCCAAGACUUGGGAGGAAGCAGCCUCGGUUGGAGGGGCUGCAUGGUCCUGGCCAGCUGGACAGCCCCGGGCAGGUGGCCCACUCUGAGCUUCUGCUCAUCCUCUGCCGAGGGGAAGGGUGAAAUGAGAGGGUCUGAGGUUUCCAUGAUCUUUUUCAACAGUCAUGAUCCCUCGACUAAGGUUCCUUCGUGUCUAAUGCAGCCCCUGAAGCCUGCCAUCUUUAUCCCGAGCUUCCUGGUACCUGGAUGCUGAAGCUUUAACGGCCUCCAGAUCAGCUACCACGUAAAGGUGGUGAGAGCCCAGGAAGAGCCAGUGCUGGGUGAGCAGAGAGGUGAGGCACGCAGCGUCCCAUAGCACCCCACUUCCUUUUCUGGGGGUUCACAGGGUCCGUCCUUGUGGAUGGCUGCACAGGACACAGGGGAAACCAGGAGUCCUGUGGCCAGUGCCUGGGGUGUGGCCCCCGCUCGGGAUGGGAAGAGCGGGUCUCGUUUGGGCAAACCCUGCUCUGCUUCCUGCUGUGCCCCUUCCUGCCGGAGCACUGAUUUUCAGGGUGACCUGGGAGGUGAGGACCCUCCCUGCAGCCUCAGCCCCCCGCUUCCCGCUCCCCUGCAGUGACUCAGAAAGCCGCCCGGAGGAAGUGGCAGAAACAGCCGACGGGGGACCACAGGGCUUGAGACCCUCGCACGCCGGCCUCACUGAGAAACCUAUGAGCCCAGGGGCCCGGGCCUUGCUUGUGAAAUACGAGCGCUGUGGCCUCAGGUAUUUUUCUGGACGGAGAGAGGAGGAGAAGCCAAACCCAGGAUGUCACUCGGAGGCAAGAGUUAAAAUGAACACGUUUCUGCCUUCCCUUCCUUCUUAAAAGGAAGCCGCUGACAGCUCCAGUCGGGCAGAACCCAGGGCUCCUCCCUCUUUAAACAGGCCUGGAGCCCGGAGUCAGCCGUGUGGCUGGAGUUUCCCAAAGUCCGCGGAAGUGCUGUUGGCACCGGCUGGGAAUCGCCCCAAAGCCAGGGGCCGAGAACGGGGAGGGUGCUGCUGCCCUGGACUUGACAUUGGGCCUCAGGUCAAUGUCUCUGCUUUUCAUCUGGUCCCUGCAUUUUCUCGGAGAGAAGGGCGGUCUCCUAAUUUCCUCCGGGCCUUUCCUCAGUGUUCCUUGCAGUGACCUGGCAAAAGCAUCCCGGGCAGCUCAAGACCUUGGACUGGAUGCUGAGGCUAAAUAAUAGCCAUCACAGUAGUAACGAUAAUACGAGAGCUGUCAUGCGCCAUUUAAGAGCAGCUGGGGACAGCGGAACUCGACGGGGCCUCCGAGGAUGGGGGAACUGGGCUGGGUCCUCUCAGGGUGAGCUGCGAAGCGCGUGGCUUGGCGGAAUGUCUUGGCGUCUGCCCCCCUGCUUCCGCUGGGCUCACACAAACACACACACGCGCCCGAGUACAGAGAGCUUGACGGCCGAGCGAACUGUUACCUGAGUGGGGGUGGGGUGACCAUUGUGCCCAUCUUACAGCCCCCCCGUGCGUUCCGUCUUAUUUUCCUAACAAAACCAGCCGAGCAGGAUGUGCCCUGGCUGCACUGAGCUGAGGACAUGCCAGGGGACUUACUAAUUGGUACCCUGGUACCGUGCAGAACACGCCAAGACUGUGGGCCAGCCAGCAGUGGGAGACAAGCGGGGGCUCCAGGUACACGCACGUGCCGACCUGCAAGACAGGAGGAGGUGGAAAGCCCGGCCAGGAUUUGUGUGCACCGUCCCAGGGUGGCCUCGCCAUUUAGUGGCAUCAUCUUUGGCCUCCACAGUCGUAACCUUGGGGGUGCUGCCUGCCCCCCAGAAGAGCAGCAUUGGCUGAACCUAAGAGACUGAGCGGCGAUGAGUGAUGGGGUGACCCUGGACAGGUCACUGCCUUUCCCUUUCCUCCUUCUGAGGGUUCCCGUUGCAAAGUCACCACGGCGUCUCCCAACACUCCUUCUCGCCCUUGUGAUCUGUGAUUUUUAGAGGGGAGACCCCUUGGCCGUUACAAGGAUGGAGUCCUGAGAUGUAUUACACUGACGGACACAGAGCCCCACCCACUCAGAGGCAGAAAGAUAAACUGGUGAUGCGGAUGUCACCAUUACAGCAAAAGCUAGUUUAUUCGACAGGCAAUUGCUCAGAAGUUUUCAGGUUGACAAGGACCAAUAUUCUGAGUCAUGACCUGAGGCUGAGACCCCGACCCCCAGAACCAAAAAUGCUCCAUGAUGCUGAGUGCAGUUCUAACGCAGAGCUGAGCUGGCAGCUGUGCCCGGGACCUGGCCAGGCGGACAAAGAAGCCGCGCUGGGGUCUGGAGACAGGGGUCCAAAAGUCUCCUAGACUGGCGAGUGGUACCAGACUGGCCUCUUCCGGUGCUUCUCUGUCUGCCUCUCUCAGGCGGAAAUCUGAAGUCCUGCCAACCCAAGGAGGGGCAGGACAUGCACCCAGUCAUCGCUGGAGGCCCCCUCCAGUUUCAGACCCAUGACUUUUCUCGCCCUCAAACUGCUGCUUGCUUCUGCUUGGUUCCGUGGUGCUCCCGUGCACCUGGACCUGCAAGAGCACACGGCCACCACGUCCCGGCACAAUGACCGCCAGCAUCAUCUUGCGUUCAGCCAGCUAGAUCAUACGCUGGGGCCCCAAGCGCAAAGCUCUCUGUUGCGUGGCCUCCCCUCUCCCUUCCGCUUGCCUUCGGUUCAGAGAUCUUCAACAUCAAAAGCGACACCAUCGAAAGUGACCCAUGCGGCACCUUGACGUCUCUCCACCUUGAGUAAACACGUCUUCGAAAAAGGCCUUGGAAGACGACUGUUGGUUUUGGCAGUGCCUUUUCGAGGGUAUUAAGACGGGCCAGGAAAACAGAGAGCAGCCUGGAAAGGAGGACUCUCCAUGCCGACAGGAAAGGUUUCACUGCAACCACCAGCGCCGAGUAGGCGACCAGGCGGUCCCGCGGCCGAAGGAUGAUCUUGGUGGGCGGCAGGCGGAGGGGGCUUCCCCGAAGCAUGAAGUAGCCAAAGGCUCCGAGGCACCCGGCACCCAGGAUGCGAAUCCGUGUCACCCCGCGGGAAACACCAGGCAGGGCACAAACCAGAAGGGGUACCGAAAACUCGCGACUUUCACCAUGUCCAGAGAGGAGCGGAAGACGAAAGGGGCGACGGCAAAGCAACAAUGGUGUCAUUUGACAGACACAAAGCGACCUCCCACAGGUCGUCUUAAAAUAGGAGGAUGCACAGAAGGCAGAGGAGGGAGAGGGAAAUGCCACGAGCGGGAGACCCUCGGAGACCUACGACCGUGCCCGAGAGACGGGAGGUCUUUCUCGAGUCGGGCUUAUCAAGGUUCAACUUGCAUUCAGCAAAAGCCCUCGUUUUAAGGGCGUAGUUCUUUGAGGUUGGACAAAGGCCUGCGGACCUGUAGCCACCACCCCAGCCAAAUACGGCAUCUUUGCCACCAUUCUGUUCCCCUUGGAGCCAGUCCCCUCCCCCAGCUCCAGGCGAUCAGGGAUCUGCUUUCUGUCGUUCUGUCCCUGUAGCUUUGUCUUUCCCAAAACAUCAUGUAAGCAGUACCAGGCAGCGUGUCACCUGUCGCGUGGUGCAUAAUGCUAUCGAGAGUCACCCACGUGAUCACACGUGUCAGGAACUCAAGCCUCUUCAAUCCCGAGUGACAGUUCAUGGCACAGAUGCACCACAGUGGAUCCGCUACCAGUUAACGGCCAUCUGGGUUGUGUCCAGGUUUUCGCAAUUAUAAGUGAAGCUGCCAUAAACCCUCGUGAGCAGGGGUUUGUGUGGAACUGAGUUUCAAUGGCACACAGUAAACGCGUGUUCAACAUUGUAAGAAACCACCGGAGCUCCCCCUGUGAUGCAACAGAAUCAGCGGCGUCUUGGGAGCCCUGGGAGGCAGGGCUGAUCCCUGGCCCAGCACCGCGGGUUAAGGAUCUGGUGAUGCUGCAGCUGCGCAACUGUGUCUCGGAUCUGAUCCCUGUCCCCGGAACUCCAU